UUGCUAGUUAAUAUAAAAAAUAAAAACAAACAAACAAACAAAAUAUAACCUGAAUAGGCACCAUUUAAUCCCAUAUGAUAAUUCACCUAUUUUUAUACUUAUUUCACAUCUCAAUCUGUAUUUGUAAUAUAGCCUAGCUCUUAUUAAUUCACAUACAACUUGUACAGAUCCCAAACAUACCCAACUGUUCAGGGAAAGAAAAAAAAAAUGACCUUGCACAGACCAAGCACAGAAUGAUGAAGCGCUAAAUCACCCACCCAUGUUGUAUUACCUACAAUACCUCAUGAAAACCAAAAAUUUCAGACAAUAACAAAAUAAAAUAAGAGAGGGUAGAAAACACGCUAGGCUUCGACACAGUUCCAAAAAUUUUUAGGAAUAACCAGUACAUAAAGAUAA
rnacentral:misc_RNA from 1 species